rnacentral:rRNA from 1 species
CCUACGGGAGGCUGCAGUCGAGGAUCUUCGGCAAUGGGCGCAAGCCUGACCGAGCGACGCCGCGUGUGGGAUGAAGGCCUUCGGGUUGUAAACCACUGUCAGAGGGGAGGAAAUCGGCGGGGGUUCUCCCCCGUCGUUGACCUAUCUUCAGAGGAAGUACGGGCUAAGUUCGUGCCAGCAGCCGCGGUAAGACGGACCGUACGAACGUUAUUCGGAAUCACUGGGCUUAAAGGGUGCGUAGGCUGUGCGGAAAGUUGGGUGUGAAAUCCCUCGGCUUAACCGAGGAACUGCGCCCAAAACUACCGUGCUCGAGGGAGACAGAGGUGAGCGGAACUUAGGGUGGAGCGGUGAAAUGCGUUGAUAUCCUAAGGAACACCGGUGGCGAAAGCGGCUCACUGGGUCUCUUCUGACGCUGAGGCACGAAAGCCAGGGGAGCGAAC